UGGCGGUCAAUGCAAAUAACUGGUCUCCGGAACCAGAGACCGUGGGUUCAAAUCCCACAUCGCCUG
rnacentral:tRNA from 1 species